CGCGGCCUAUCAGCUUGUUGGUGAGGUAAUGGCUCACCAAGGCGACGACGGGUAGCCGGCCUGAGAGGGCGACCGGCCACACUGGGACUGAGACACGGCCCAGACUCCUACGGGAGGCAGCAGUGGGGAAUAUUGCACAAUGGGCGAAAGCCUGAUGCAGCGACGCCGCGUGAGGGAUGACGGCCUUCGGGUUGUAAACCUCUUUCAGCUCCGAAGAAGCGAAAGUGACGGUAGGAGCAGAAGAAGCACCGGCUAACUACGUGCCAGCAGCCGCGGUAAUACGUAGGGUGCAAGCGUUGUCCGGAAUUAUUGGGCGUAAAGAGCUCGUAGGUGGUUCGUCGCGUCUGCUGUGAAAGUCCGAGGCUUAACCUCGGAUCUGCAGUGGGUACGGGCGGACUAGAGUGCGGUAGAGGAGAUCGGAAUUCCUGGUGUAGCGGUGGAAUGCGCAGAUAUCAGGAGGAACACCGGUGGCGAAGGCGGAUCUCUGGGCCGUAACUGACGCUGAGGAGCGAAAGCAUGGGGAGCGAACAGGCUUAGAUACCCUGGUAGUCCAUGCCGUAAACGUUGGGCGCUAGGUGUGGGGUCCUAUCCACGGAUUCCGUGCCGCAGCUAACGCAUUAAGCGCCCCGCCUGGGGAGUACGG
rnacentral:rRNA from 1 species